rnacentral:rRNA from 1 species
CUUGGUCAUUUAGAGGAAGUAAAAGUCGUAACAAGGUUUCCGUAGGUGAACCUGCGGAAGGAUCAUUAUCGUACAAAAUGUGAGAGGGGCAUGCGAGGGCUGUCGCUGACUCAAAGUCGUGCACGCCCGAGUGUGUCGCCUCACAUAAUAAUCCAUCUCACCCUUUGUGCAUCACCGCGUGGGCACCCCUUUGGGAUCAUCUCGGAGGGGGCUCGCGUUUUCACACAAAACCCCCCUUUUAAAAGUGUAGAAUGACCUCAUUUAUGCGCUAACCCGCAAUCAAUACAACUUUCAACAACGGAUCUCUUGGCUCUCGCAUCGAUGAAGAACGCAGCGAAAUGCGAUACGUAAUGUGAAUUGCAGAAUUCAGUGAAUCAUCGAAUCUUUGAACGCACCUUGCGCCCCCUGGUAUUCCGAGGGGCACACCCGUUUGAGUGUCGUGAAAACCUCAACCUCCUUGGUUUCUUCUGGAGACCAAAGCAGGCUUGGACUUUGGAGGCCUUUGCUGGCACCUCUCGCCAGCUCCUCUUAAAUGAAUUAGCAGGGUCCUCUUUGCUGAUCCUCGACGUGUGAUAAGAUGUUUCCAUGUCUUGGUUUCUGGCUCUGUCACCUUUGGGACCCGCUUCUAACCGUCUUCAACCUUGCGUUGAGACAACGUUCGAGCAUGUCUCCCUUCUCGGGAAGCUCCCUCGACCCCACGAACCCUUGACCUCAAAUCGGGUGAGACUACCCGCUGAACUUAAGCAUAUCAAUAAGCGGAGGA